rnacentral:rRNA from 1 species
CGCGUAGGCGGCCUUGUAAGUCAGAUGUGAAAGCCCGGGGCUUAACCCCGGAAGUGCAUUUGAAACUACAGGGCUUGAGUAUGGGAGAGGGAAGUGGAAUUCCUGGUGUAGAGGUGAAAUUCGUAGAUAUCAGGAGGAACAUCUGUGGCGAAGGCGACUUCCUGGACCAAUACUGACGCUGAGGCGCGAAGGCGUGGGGAGCAAACAGGAUUAGAUACCCUGGUAGUCC